UCGACGUGGCUGCUGUACCAGCUGGUGGAUGGCUCGGCUCGGGCGCCGACGAAGGGCGUGCCAAGCUGCGAUAAGCUCAGGGGAGCCGCACGGAGGCGAAGAACCUGAGAUACCCGAAUGGGAACUCCUCACCGCAAUUGCCUUGCGCAAUGGGGAACGCCGGGAACUGAAACAUCUCAGUACCGGCAGGRAGAGAAAAMGAAWGUGAUGUCGUUAGUAACCGCGAGUGAACGCGAUACAGUCCAAACCGAAGGCCUUACGGCCAAUGUGGUGUUCGGACUGGCACUCAUCGUCAGAACGUCUUUUUGAAGUCUCCUGGAACGGAGCGCGAUACAGGGUGACAGCCCCGUAACGAAGUCAAGUACGACGUGCGCCAGUUCCCGAGUAUCGGGGGUUGGAAAUCCCUCGUGAAUUUGGCAGGCAUCUACUGCUAAGACUAAAUACGUCCCGAGACCGAUAGUGAACAAGUAGCGUGAGCGAACGCUGAAAAGUACCCUCAGAAGGGAGGCGAAAUAGGGCCUCAAAUCAGUUGGUGAUAGAGCGACUGGGCAUAGAAGGUCCCUCGAUAAACGACCUAUCCGCGAGGAUACAGUAGGACUCGAGGGAAGCCGGUGUUCAGUCGUACGUUUUGAAAAACGAGCCAGGGAGUGUGCUUGUGUGGCGAGUCUAACCCGAUCAUCGGGGAAGGCACAGGGAAACCGACAUGGCCGCAGUGCUUUGCACGAGGGCCGCCGUCUUCAAGGGCGGGGAGUCACACGGGCACGACCCGAAUCCGGACGAUCUACGCGUGGGCAAGAUGAAGCGUGGCGAAAGCUACGUGGAAGUCUGUUAGGGUUGGUGUUUUACAAUACCCUCCCGUGAUCUACGUGUAGGGGUGAAAGGCCCAUCGAGUCCGGCAACAGCUGGUUCCAACCGAAACAUGUCGAAGCAUGACCUCCGCUGAGGUAGUCCGUGGGGUAGAGCGACCGAUUGCCGUGUCCGCCUCCGAGAGGAGUCGGCGCGGCUGUCAAACUCCGAACCUACGGACGCCGUCGACGCGGGGAGUCCGGUAUGCGGGGUAAGCCUGUGUACCAUGAGGGAGACAACCCAGAGCUGGGUUAAGGUCCCCAAGUGUGGAUUAAGUGCGAUCGAAGGUGGUCUCAAGCCCUAGACAGCCGGGAGGUGAGCUUAGAAGCAGCAAUCCUCCAAGAAAAGCGUAACAGCUUACCGGCCGAGGUUUGAGGCGCCCAAAAUGAUCGGGGCUCAAAUCCACCACCGAGACCUGGCCACACCUGUCAAAAGGUGGUUGUGUAGGUUGGCGUUCUGCGCGGGUGGAAGCACGGGUGAGAACUCGUGUGGACCGCGUAGAAACGAAAAUCCUGGCCGUAGUAGCAGCGAAAGUCGGGUUAGAAUCCUGACGGCCUGAAGAGCAAGGGUUCCUCGGCACUGUUCGACAGCCGAGGGUUAGUCGAUCCUAAGAUCCGUCGCAACUCGAGCGGAUCAAAAGGGAAACUGGUUAAUAUUCCAGUACCACCGUACACUCAAUGUCGACGCCUUGGGGUAGACCGAGCCGGGCACUCGCCCGGUCGAAUCGUCAAAACUCGUGGAAGCCGUAAUGGCACGAAGCGGGCGAACGGCGAGAUAGAGCAAUUUGGUUCAACCUGGGGCCCAUGAAAAGACAGUACGGUGCUCGUACCCAGCACCGACACAGGUGCUCUGGCGGAGAAAGCCAAGGCCUGUCGGGAUCAAUCGACGUUAGGGAAUUCGGCAAUUUAGCCCCGUAAGUUCGCGAUAAGGGGUACCUGCUCGGGAAACGAGCAGGUCGCAGUGACUUGGAGGCUCGGACUGUCUAGUAACAACACAGGUGACCGCAAAUCCGCAAGGACUCGUACGGUCACUGAAUCCUGCCCAGUGCGGGUAUCUGAACACCUAGUACAAUAGGACGAAGGACCCGUCAACGGCGGGGGUAACUAUGACCCUCUUAAGGUAGCGUAGUACCUUGCCGCUUCAGUAGCGGCUUGCAUGAAUGGAUUAACCAGAGCCUCGCUGUCCCAACGUUGAGCCCGGUGAACCGUACUUUCCAGUGCGGAGUCUGGAGACCCCCAAGGGGAAGCGAAGACCCUAUGGAGCUUUACUGCAGGCUGUCGCUGGGACAUGGUCGCUAAUGUGCAGAAUAGGUAGGAGACGGUACACAGGUACGUGCGCCAGCACGCCACCGAGUCAGCAUUGAAAUACUACCCGUUAGUGACUGUGACCCUCACUCCGGGAGGAGGACACCGAUAGCCAGGCAGUUUGACUGGGGCGGUACGCGCUCGAAAGAAUAUCGAGCGCGCCCUAAGGCCAUCUCAUCCGGGUCAGAGAUCCGGAGAAGAGCGCAAGAGCAAAAGAUGGCUUGACAGUGUUCUUCCCAACGAGGAACGCUGACGUGAAAGCGUGGUCUAGCGAACUCAUUUGCCCGCUUGAUGCGGGCAAUGAAUGACAGAAAAGCUACCCUAGGGAUAACAGAGUCGUCACUCGCAAGAGCACAUAUCGACCGAGUGGCUUGCUACCUCGAUGUCGGUUCCCUCCAUCCUGCCCGUGCAGAAGCGGGCAAGGGUGAGGUUGUUCGCCUAUUAAAGGAGGUCGUGAGCUGGGUUUAGACCGUCGUGAGACAGGUCGGCUGCUAUCUAUUGGGGGUGUUUGGUACCUGACGGGAACGACCGUAUAGUACGAGAGGAACUACGGUUGGUGGCCACUGGUGUACCGGUUGUUCGAGAGAGCAUUGCCGGGCAGCCACGCCACACGGGGUAACGGCUGAACGCAUCUAAGCCGGAAACCCACCUGGAAAAGAGGUACCGCUGAGGUCACUCGUAGAAGACGAGUUCGAUAGACUCGGGGUGUACGCACCGAGGUAACGAGGUGUUUAGCCCGCGAGAACUAACUGACCGAAGCCACCAUUC
rnacentral:rRNA from 21 species